rnacentral:misc_RNA from 2 species
UUAAUAAAAAUCGGCGUGUUGCUCUUUUGUGACGUUCCGGAGUUUGGGUCAUCUUAUAACAACACCCUUUCAGGGUAUUUUUAAGAGGCUUAAAAUUGACCUUUUUUUGUGCAUUUUUAGACGUACAUAAAUUUUUUUUAUUCGUUUAUCUUAAUGCCAAAUCUAUUAGAUGCGACCAUAUCGUGUGGUUUCGUGUCUAUAAAUUUUUCAUG